rnacentral:rRNA from 1 species
GAUGAACGCUAGCUACAGGCUUAACACAUGCAAGUCGAGGGGCAGCAUGAAGUUUGCUUGCAAACUUUGAUGGCGACCGGCGCACGGGUGAGUAACGCGUAUCCAACCUUCCCCAUAGUAGGGUAUAGCCCGUAGAAAUGCGGAUUAAUCCCCUAUGUCCUCCGAAGAUGCCAUCAGAUUUGGAGCAAAGAUUUAUCGCUAUGGGAUGGGGAUGCGUCUGAUUAGGCAGCAGGCGGGGUAACGGCCCACCUGGCCGACGAUCAGUAGGGGUUCUGAGAGGAAGGUCCCCCACAUUGGAACUGAGACACGGUCCAAACUCC